ensembl:lncRNA
GUGAGUAAAGAUGAGCAGUCAGGAGUUCAUGUUGUGGCUCAUCAGUAAUGAAGUCAGCUAGUAUCCGGGAGGACAUAGGUUCCAUUCCUGGCCCCGCUCAGUGGGUUAAGGAUCUGGCAUUGCCGUGAGCUGUGGUGUAGGUCGCAGAAAGUACCCUGGAUCUGGUGUUGCUGAGGCUGUGGCGUAGGCCGGCAGCUCAGCUCUCAUUUGACCCCUAGCCUGGGAACUUCCAUAUGUCGAGGGCGCGACCCUUUAAAAAAAAAAGGGGGUGAGUGAUCAAGGCUCAGUGGAGUCAGAACCAACCAUCAGCACCACCUUGCUUAACCCCAAGACCUUGCACAAAGGUCGUGACCUUGGGAGUUCCCAUUGUGGCACAGCAGAAACGAAUCUAACUGGUGUCCAUGAGGAUGCGGGUUUGAUCCCUGGCCUUGAUCAGUGGGUUAAGGAUCCGGCGUUGCCAUGAGCUGUGGUGUAGUUCGCAGAUGGGGCUUGGAUCCGAUGUGGCUGUGGCUGUGGCGUAGGCCAGCAGCUACAGUUCUGAUUCAACCCCUAACCUGGGAACCUCCAUAUGCCUUGGGUGCGGCUUGAAAAAGCAAAACAACAAAAAAAGUCUUCUCAAGCAGAUUGAUUAUGCCCUCCUCUGGAGAUACUUGGAAAAUGUCUGGAGACAUGUUGCUUGUCGCUGCUAGUGCUGAGGAGUAGAGGCCAAGGAUGCUGCUCAAUAUCAUAUAAUGCACAGGGCAGCCCCCCACCAUGGAGAAUGAUCUGGGCCCACUGGCAGAGGUGCUGCAGUUGGGGUUCCCUGCUGCAUGGUAAUUGUGAGGGUUACUUGAGAGGUUAGUGUCUGGGAUGUGAUCAGAUGAUGCUGUGAAAGCACCGGGUUGGGGGCAUGGCACUGGGGAGAGCCCUCGUUAAGUACUGCCUGAUAGUUCGUGAAAUGGCGUAAGGUUCUGGGAGAUGGAGAGAGGUAUAAGAUGCCUCUGACUGAGGGGGACAUACUAAUAAUAGUAGCUGGCACUGACUACAAAGCCAGCACCAGUCUACCUGUGUUAACUUAGCAGUUUAAUCCUUAAAACCAUCUUGUGAGGUGGCUCCUGCUAUUAGCCCAUUUUACAGUUGAAAAAGACUGAUGAGGGCUCAAGCAGCAAGCAUUGCUAGAGAUAAAGGUUUCCUGGGAGCGUAGAGGAAGGGAAUUCUAAUUCUAAUCAGGAAGCUUUGUAAGGGAUAUUUGAGCCUAGUAGAACAAGUUUCUGAUUCUUCUGUCCUCUGAGCCCACUCCAUCCUAGCAGGAGGCCCGCCCACCGCCUUUGUGUUAGCCUCUCCAAUGUCACCUCAGGACCUUUGCACUUGACGUUCCCUCUACCCUUUGUGAACCUCCACCCUGUGUCCUUGGGGUCUGAAGGCCCACCAGGAGUGUGAUGUAACUCAGAGGGUGGGCUUGUGGUCAGAGUUGGGGGGUGGGGUGGAGCCUGGCUGGGUUCUCCGAGAAGAGCUACUGCAGGCGGAGGCAGUGGAGGCCAGAUUGCCCAGGACUGCUAAGAGAGAGUGGGAGGAGGGAGAAGGAGAGGCAGCAGGCUAGACUGCUCAUUCUCGGAGGUGGCAGUGAGGGGAGGAAGACUGGAGAAUAGCUGGGGGAGGCUGGGCCAAGGAAGAAGGCUUCCUGGGGUGGGAGGGGAUGGGGGAGCAGAAAGAGCAGCACCCUGAACCCUCAGGUGGGCAGCAGACCCAUGCUCUAGCCUCGGCCUGUCGUGGCUUCCCUUCUCAGCCCUGGCCUCUUUGAGUCCCGGUUUGCCCAGUCACGAACUGGGUCCAGCUGUGGUGGCUGCCUGCUGUGGGGAGCUACAGGACCGUGCAGAGGAUGAGUUCAGCCUGGUCAGCAAAGCCUCAGCUGCUGCUAUCUCCUGAUUCUUGGACUGGAGCCAGGCAGCCUGGAUGCCAUCCUGUGCCUCGCUCGCUGCACCUGUAAAAUGGCAGGAAGACCCAUUUCUUCCUCAGAAAUUGGCGAGGGGGAUAAUUAAGCCCUCACCAGGUACUGGUGCACAGUAGGGGCAAUGUCCCUGCCAGCUACGGUUGCUAAUCCUAUCACCCACUGUGGAGUUACUGGGAGCUUUUCAGAGGGAAAAAAAAGAAAUGUGUAGAUACUUAACAAAAGGAUCUGUACAGUCAGGUGUCACCUUGUUCUUCACUAGCUAAUGUUGGCUUAAGCUGUCUUCAGAUUCAGCCCCUGUAGAGGGUCUAAGUGGCUUUGUGCCAGGAAUGUACCCCAAGCAUCAUGGGUGUGUGUGUGUGCGUGUGUAUCACUUUCCUGCCCCCAGCUGUCACUCCGACCUCAUGCUGAGCUGGGUGACAGAUCGCAGGGCUUUCCAGGGGCCUUGGAUUGGUGGGUUCCAUUAACUGACUUACAUGUCAGUAGGCAGUGCACCACUUCCCUGGAAAGUCAGGCAGACAGCCCCGGGUGAGGCAGGCACAGAUCUCUCCCCACACUCUGCUGGCUCGGAACUUCAGAGCUCCCUUCCCAAAGAGCUGGCAGUUUUCACUCCCAGGAAUUGCACUGGCACACAAGCACCUCUGUUUCAAGCCUGCUGCACCCCGAUGGGAUCUGGUGGCUGUGGGAGCCAUCACUGGGAAUCCAGAGUUCAGUUACAUUGAACCCCAAGUGGGACCCUGACAGCUGGCCACACACCCGGCGCAGCCGCCAGAGGAGGGUGCCUGACUGCAUGGCACCCUCCACAUUGGCCCCAGCAGCCCCCACUGCAGUGAGAGUGGCACCCCUGCCCAGCCUCAGAAAUCUCUUCUGUGCCCCACUCCAUUCUAGUCACAAUGUGAUGAAAAGAGGGGGUUCGGUUGGAAGUAAUGGAAAUAAUUCUCCGUUCGUUCUGUUCAUUCCACAAACAACAGAGGACACAGCAGUGUGAACCAGACAGGCAGACGCCCUGCCCUGGUAGAGCUGACACAAAGCCAAGGACACAUCUAGUUGGUAGGUGGUGGGAAGUGCCCAGGAGGAAAUAAUCAAGCAGGAGAAGCAGCCAGAGUUGGGAAGGGCUCUGUCUUUGGAAAUUUGAGAUGGGUGGCCAGGAGUGUGUGUGGGGACAUGGCCAUCUCGAAGCCUGCAUUCUAGGAGGUCCAAGAGCAGACCCUCUAACGUACAGGGCCCCUUAUACUUCGUGGGGCCCCGGUGGUGAGAAAUGGUUUUGAAGGAGUCAGGGUGGGGCUGGGGCUGGGGCUGGUGCAAGCUGCGGCCAGAGCAGCCUUAGUGGGGGUGCAGGAGAUGAGCUGAGGAUGCUUUGUGUUGGCAUCUGGGCCGUGUGCAAGCCUGCGGUCCACAGGGAGGUCCAGGCCUGGGCCUCCAGGAAAAAGUUGCGGGGUGAGUAGGUGGUGUUUGGAGUCCAUCUUAGUCUGCCUAGGCUGCUGUAACAAGAUACCUUAGGUGAGGCAGCCUAAGCAGGAGACACUUAUUUCCUCACUGCUCUUGAGGCUGGAAGUCCAAGAUGCUAGCGUGAUCAGGUUCUGGUUGGGUUCUAGUGUGCUCACAUGGCCUUCCCUAUGAAAUCUCUCUUCCUCUUAGAAGGACCAGGAGUUCUGUUGGAUCCAGGCCCCACCUUUAUGAUCCCAUUUAGCCUUAAUUACCUUCAAGUAGGAUCCUAUCUCCAAAUACAGCUACACUGGGGAUUAGGCCUUCAACAUAUGAAUUGGGGUUCCCAGCCCACUUGCUGCCUGGUGAGGUCACCCCCACACACACACCUCCACCACCUUGUGCCCCCAGAUCUCAACUCCAGUGUUCCAUCUUCUGAGUGAAGUCAGAGGCCCGGACCUACAGCUUGUUAAUCUGUGUGACCCAGGAUGCCUCUGUCUGGGCUCCGGAGGCCUGAAUUAGUUGUUUCCCGCCCCAGGCUCCUGGCAUUUCCUGCCCCAGGCAGGCGCUUGGCAAAUAUUUGUUGAGUGACUGUUGAGAGGCCAUGGAAACCGUAUGUCGCGCCCUUGCACCUCAUCAGGAAACCCACUGUCAUCCAGGGCCAGGAGUAGUGUUGCUGGAAAAGUCUCCUGUGGGGCUGGGGGCUUCCCCUCCCAUCCUGGGGGAUCAGGGGGAUCCCAGACGAUGGGCAGGCUGAUGUGCCAAAUUGGGAGGAGUAUGUGGCCAAAAACAAAAACUGAAUAUGUGGCUUUUAAAACGAUGCCCUGUCUGCCCAUAAAGGCUCACUCCUGAGACAGUCACAACCCUCUGUGGGAAUUCUCCCAAAACUGGUCUGGGCCCCAGGCUCUCUUGCUCCAGGCUCUCCAUUGUUCACUCAAAUGUUCAUCCUCACUGGGCCAGGGCCUCCUUGUCCCUCACACUGUGCUGACUUCCAGAGACACAGUCACCUCACCUGAAAUUAAAUCACCCUCUGUGUCUCCCCACUGGGCAGUGAGCUCCAUACAGGCAUAGCCAGCCCUCUUCAGGGCUGUGUCCCCAGCACCUUGCAGUCCAUUGGGGUGGGGUGGGGGUGAGUGAAUACCUCCCCAUUUUACAGAUGAACAGACUGAGGCACAGAGAGGUGAGGGGCUGGCCUGAGGUCACACAGCUUCAGGAUGAUGGGGCUGUUGCAGCAGAACCCAGGUUUAGAAGUCUCUGUCAUGGCUUAGCAGUAACAAACCCAACUAGUAUCCAUGAGGACACGGGUUUCAUCCUGGCCUUGCUUAGUGGGUUAAGGAUCCAGCAUUGUAUUGAGCUAUGGUGUAGAUCGCAGACAUUGCUAUGGCUGUGGUGUAGGCAGGCAGCUAUAGCCGCCAUUCGACCCCUAGCCUGGGAACUACCAUAUGCUGCGGGUGUGGCUCUAGCUCUGCUGUAUGCCUGUCCUGCCUUGGUCCACUUCCUAGGGGUUGUGAACCUCUCAUGCCACGGGUCUAGAGCACCCCUCCAGGGACUAGAGGCCAACCAGCCUCUUCCUUGUCUGCCUUGGCCCUGGUCACUUGGUCCCCAGUACCCCAAAGGGCUUUGGUUUGGCAGUCUGGGGAGGCGGGUCAGGGCUCUGUCCUUUGCCUCUUGAUGCCUCAGUUUCCUCUGCCUCCUCACUCAGAGGCCCAGCUCCUGGGAGCUGUAUGCUGCCUUGUAACUAGGAUUUCCCUGUCACUGCCUCCCCCUCCUGAUUGCCUUUUUGUUUUUCGUAGCAGUAACAAUGAUUUUGAUGAAGAGGAAGAGGGUACAGCUGAGGGAAACCUUGGGUUUCAUUGGUCAGACAGAUCUGGCUUUGAAUCUUGCCUCUACCGCUUAUGUGUAACCUUAGGACAGAUCUUAGCUUCUGCAUGGACUCAGCUUUCCCAGCUGAGUUUUAGGGGUAGGAAAUCAACCCCAUUGGCUUGCUGAGAAGAAUCAGGGAGCUCACUAAGGUCAGGCGUCAGCUCCUGUGGUAGCCUGGGUGCUGGGAGGGAUAGGGCCUGCGUCUCCCUCAGGGUCUCCCACGUGGAGCAGCUCAGUGAGUAUGGGUUGAGUGUGCAGAAUCAGGUUGGCCUUAACAGUGUUAAUUUCCAAGGGAAGAAGCAGAGAUGUGGAGUUCCUGGUCCCUAAAGCAAGUCUGUUCUGGAGCCGAGACACCCUGGCUUGAGUGCACCUCAGCCCAUGAGCACCUGGCCCCUUCUGUUCCUCCUGGCAGCCCUUUCGGAAUGAGCCCAGAUAGGGCUCAGGUCCCCACUGCAUCCCCCAUGCUCACCCCUCAGAGGCAGCUUAGGUUGGACUUGUUAAAGUAAAAAACUGAAGAUCCGCGAGAGCUAACCUGGAAGGACAGGGUGGGAGUGCGGGGGCUCUAGGUAGUUCCUGCCCCAGGGACUUUGCACACUCUUCUCUUUUUUCCUCACCCACCUGACUCUCUGCUCAGGCCUCUCUUCUCACCCCUACCUGCCCAUGCAGGUCCACUGCCCUUUAUACCUGUAACAUUGCAGGGGACUCCCUUUUACCAGUAGGGGCGCUUGUAAAGCCACAUCUUCCCGCAUAGCCCUUUUAUGAUUACCCCCAGAGCAUGGGACAUGCUGGUCUCCCCCGACCAGUUCUUCUCCUGGGCUGGAAUGUGCACUGAUGGAAUAGGUUCUGAUGCAGAGGUUCACACUUUUGAGAGGUGCCAGGGCCCCCCAGGUAGUACCUCACAGGUCAAGAUCUCAGGCAGUUCCUUAAAUUCAUAUUUCUUUCUCUACCCACCCCUCAAGCACUUUGAAGUUAAUUUGCGUAAAUGUGGUGUUGGGGUUCCCCAUGUGGCUCAGUGGAAACAUUCCCACUAGUAUCCAAGAGGGUGCAUGUACUAUCCCUGGCCUUGUUCAGUAGGUCGGGGAUCUGGUGUUGCUGUGAGCUGUGGUAUAGGUCACAGACGCAGCUUGGAUCCUGUGUGGCUGUGGCUGUGGCUGGCAGCUAUAGCUCUGAUUCAAUCCCUAGCCUGGAAUCCUCCAUGUGCCGCGAGUGCGGCC